CACAGCAGAAUUACCUGGGGAGAUUAUUAAAAAUACAGAUUCUUGGGCCCCACCCCAGGAGAAUGUGAAUCAGUAAGUAAAUCUGGGUGGGGCCUGGGGAUGUGUAUAUUUAUACAAAUAGACCAGGUGAUUCUGACGCUA
rnacentral:pre_miRNA from 14 species